AUUGAACGCUGGCGGCAUGCCUUACACAUGCAAGUCGAACGGUAACGCGGGGCAACCUGGCGACGAGUGGCGAACGGGUGAGUAAUGCAUCGGAACGUGCCCAGUUGUGGGGGAUAACUGCUCGAAAGAGCAGCUAAUACCGCAUACGACCUGAGGGUGAAAGCGGGGGAUCGCAAGACCUCGCGCAAUUGGAGCGGCCGAUGUCGGAUUAGCUAGUUGGUGGGGUAAAGGCCCACCAAGGCGACGAUCCGUAGCUGGUCUGAGAGGACGACCGGCCACACUGGUACUGAGACACGGCCCAGACUCCUACGGGAGGCAGCAGUGGGGAAUGUUGGACAAUGGACGCAAGUCUGAUCCAGCCAUGCCGCGUGCGGGAAGAAGGCCUUCGGGUUGUAAACCGCUUUUGUCAGGGAAGAAAUCUUCUGGGUUAAUACCUCGGGAGGAUGACGGUACCUGAAGAAUAAGCACCGGCUAACUACGUGCCAGCCGCCGCAGUAAAAC
rnacentral:rRNA from 1 species